GUGGUGUGAAUCAUAAAUUUCUGACUUUUAAUCAGGUGGUCGAUGGUUCGAGUCCAUCACGGCGCA
rnacentral:tRNA from 1 species